GAAUCUAGAAAAUGUUUUCGAAUAAAGUAUACCUACCACCAUCCAGAAGAAAAAUCUCCAUCUUACGCCUUUGAAGCACCGGAUCAUUUACACUUUUACCGACAAAUUGUUGUUUUCCGUGGCUGAAAAAUCAAAUGUCGGUGUAUUAUGCUAUUAUAUAAGCAUAAUAUACCGAUCAUGCGCUCAGAAUAUUGUACAGGUCCAUUUGAAAUAACAUUUUCCCGGGGCACGCCUUACUAAAGCUUUUCCUAAUCUACAAAUCGGUAAAUCACCUCGGACCGAUAAUAUACGACUUCACCGAAAAGUGGUUCGACGAGUUUCCGUUACAU